UUCCCACUCUUGAAAAUAUGAAGAAAAGAUGUCCUUUCAGCAAUAAUGGGUUAUGGUUGAUUAACUGAGAAGGUUGUAUUAAACGUUCUCUAGUAGAAAUGGCUAAAGAGCAUGCUUUUUGAGAAGUGUAUCAUCUAGGAAGAAAAUCAAAUGGAGUAUUGGUAAUUAAAUUGUAAUUCCAUGAAGGAAGGAAGUGGUGCAAAAGAUGAAGCUAACUAUUCCUGUUUUUCUUUUUAAGAGUCUGCAAUUCAUAAUGGAGCUACUGUACUGGCUAUUGGAAGGAGGAGAUUCUGAAGAUAAGGAGGUAAAACCUGUUUAGAAAUUAAAAAUGAGUUACGAUUUAAAGAAAAUUCAGAUGACUCAUUGUGAGUGCUAGUUCUCUUGUAGGAUGCCACUGGAAAUGUUGAAAUGAAAAAUAUUCAGCCGUUGGUCUUUGAAAUUUCCUGUGAUGUGUUUCAAUCUAGAUGCAAAGAACAUGGAAAAAUCAAAGUGCUCGAGUGGUUUAAAUAUGUUUUGGGUAUUCCUGUUUAUAGACUAUAAUACUUUUCCAAUUAAAAUCCUCAGUUGUCACGCAGAAGAAGGUUAAGCUGUAUUUGAUUGCCAGUUUUACUGAAAA
rnacentral:lncRNA from 1 species